GCCCUGUUGGGCUCAGUCGGUUGAGUGUCUGACUUCAGCUCAGCUCAAGGUCUCACAGUUUGUGAGUUUGAGCCCCACAUGGGGCU
rnacentral:tRNA from 1 species